rnacentral:rRNA from 1 species
CCUACGGGAGGCAGCAGUGAGGAAUAUUGGGCAAUGGCGGCAACCCUGACCCAGCCAUGUCGCGUGAGUGAAGAUGGCCCUCGGAUUGUAAAGCUCUUUCGGACGUGACGAUGAUGACGGUAGCGUCUAAAGAAGCACCGGCAAACUUCGUGCCAGCAGCCGCGGUAAUACGAAGGGUGCGAGCGUUGUUCGGAAUUACUGGGCGUAAAGGGAGUGUAGGCGGGUAUGUAAGAUAGCGGUGAAAUGCCGGGGGUCAACCCCGGAACUGCCAUUAUAACUAUGUAUCUAGAGUAAUGGAGAGGUUAGCGGAAUACGCGGUGUAGAGGUGAAAUUCGUAGAUAUUAGGUAGAACACCGGUGGCGAAGGCAGCUAACUGGCGAUUUACUGACGCUGAGGCUCGAAAGCAUGGGUAUCGAACAGGAUUAGAUACCCGGGUAGUC